CUUCUCCGCCAAUCACCUGCUGCACUAAAAAAAAGUUCCAACAGUUAGAAAGACCAGUUUGUUAUAAGUUGAAAUCUUAAGUACAAAGAGUUUUAAGCAGAACAGGAGCCAAGCGUCUAUUUUGUCUUAAUGUUGAAUCAAGGGCCAAGUCUUUAUAAAUUUGUUGCGACUAAACCCCAGUCGUUACGGGCACUAACCAGUUAGGUAGGUGCAUUUAAAUCUAUUAGCUGCAAUGCAAGUUCCAACCUCCAGAUGCCGCUGCCUGACAAUGCAGAAGAGGGAACUAGCUAGCAGGAAAGCAAAUGGCGGAUUCUGCGGAAUGCUUUUCGAACAGUAAGUAAGGCCCAGCAGACACUCCCAAUCCACACUCUCUCCCGGAACAAAGAUAUUCAAAAAGCGGGGCGCAGUGAGCUCUCUUCGCCUUGGGUACUUACAAUCCAGUGACGAUUUUAAACGCAGCUUCUCCGGACGGGAGCGAGCGGAAAAGGAAGCCACUCCUAGCAAGACGGUCAGGCGCCGAGAGUCUCCUUCUUUAUUCCUUUGUUCUUCCCGGGUUUUAGGAAAGUGAUCCGCUACAGAUUAACGAAACGGCAGAGGACAGGCAGCGCGAAAUCUCGCCGACAACCGCAAGUCGCAGAGCCAAAGGCAGUAGCUCAGCAGGUCUGAUUCUGGAGCUGCAGACCUAGCGAAAAAGAAAGCGCUACGUCACCCCGCUGGGCUGGAGAAGCGGCUGUGAGUGACAGCACGACUCAAGCGGAAGCGCGCUCCGCCCCCGCCUGCGCAGGCGUAGGGGUGCAAUUACGCUAUCCGGCGAUUUGUCAUCCCGCGAGAAUUUGACCUAACGCGAUGAAAACGAUAAUGUCUCAUAGAGACCUAUUGCUUUGAAAAUAUUUAGAGGCAAGGCUUGCUGGAAAGAGUUAGACCUUAUGUCUUCCUUUUCCGCUCCACGGAGCCAGUACUUUUACCGGUCGCCGUGGGGCCGGAUAGCUGAGUGAUUACCGGAGAUAGGGCGUCCGUGCGGAAAGCGUCUUUGCCUCUGGAAACCCCUUGGAUGCUUCCCACGCUUUGUCCUUAUCUUGGAAACUUCUCAAGUUUCUGGUCACAAGAAUUCUGCCAGCAGUAACCAGGGAACUUCCUUCCUUGUCCAGGGUAAGUUCAGAAAGUGGCUCCCCCUAACCAGAGUUUGUCUUCUAUCUGAUUCGACCAAUUUAGGCCAUUUACCUAUCCCUGGCUCAAUAACAGUCACCAGGGGAAUACCCUGAGCCUGUGAUUUUCAAUAUGGUGGGGAGGAGGUGACAUUGGUAAUGUCUGGAGACAUUUUUGGUUGUUACAACUGUGGGGGGGGGGGUCUACUGGCAUCUAUUGUGUAGAGACCAGGGAUGCUGCUAAACAUCCUACCAUAUGCAGAACAGCCUCUUCCCCACAGCAAAGAGUUAUGUGGAUCAAAAUAGUACCACAGCUGAGUAAGCUUAUUAAGUCUGUAUUCCUAAC
rnacentral:lncRNA from 1 species